GCCUCACGGCUCGGGACGCUGCCGCUGUCCUUCAGCCCGGCCCGGAGCGCUCCUGAGGAGACUCCGAGAUAUAAAAUCCUGCUAAACGCAGUGUAAAAUCCUGCUAAAUGCAGUGUAAAAUCCUGCUAAACCCACUGUAAAGUCCUGCUAAACCCACUGUAAAAUCCUGCUAAAAGCGGCGGCUCCGGGAUGUCCCGGGCCUGUCGGUGGCCCAGCCGGAUUUAAGGGAUGAGCUCCAGGGGAUGUCCCGCUCCUGGAAUGGCAGCGCUGGAAUCGCCUGGUUCGCGUUCAGGGCUGGACAGCGGUCCCAGGCCAAGGGGAGGAUAACGCGAUUUGAGGAUUCCCACCCAUACAGGGAAUACAGAAUUUGCCGGCCACAAGGACAUUUGGCAGAAGUGGCAAGAUAAGGAAGAAGCCGAUAAAAACAGCUGGCCAGCUGUGCUGGAUCCCUGGGAAAGGAGGGGAUUCCAGGGGGGCCGGUGGCCACCAGCGAGCCGAGAAACCCCAAAAAGAGAGGAACAGCAGGAAUCGGUGUGAGAAGGAGGAGAAACAUUAAGGUGGAACGUUAAUUAAUAAGGGGAUGUGGAAUGUCAGCAGGAUAUUCCAUGGAAAAGAGCCCGGCACGUUGUCAAGGUGAAACGAGAUUCUCAGCCUGGAGCUCGCUGCCCAUAAAUCUGGGAGCAGGAUUACCCCAGCGAUGGGAAUUGCAGCGUGGAGAAGAGCAGAGAAUAUUUAUUUUGGUCUGUCCAAUAAUCCUCCUGAUGCAGAAAGAGACAAAAAUUAAUCCAAACCACUCUGAUCUGUGUGCUGUUAAAGAAGAUGGGCAUGAAACAGCCUGAAAUGUCACUGCUUGGAUAAAUUUCAUGUAAAAUUUUGACACGUGAAUCAACAAUGUUUUAUCUGAAUUCUCAAAAAAGCAAAUUAAUGCAAAAUAAACUAUUAAUAUCUC